UCAUCUGAAAUCAUUGGAAGACUUUGAGUUCUGGGGUUGAAAUGCAUAAGAAAGCUCUCCCUUCCUCGGCCAUUCCCCUGAGGUCAGUUCCAACACUAUCACAAGCUCUCCCUUCCUCGGCCAUUCCCUUGAGGUCAGUUCCAACACUAUCACAAGCUCUCCCUUCCUCGGCCAUUCCCCUGAGGUCAGUUCCAACACUAUCACAAGCUCUCCCUUCCUCGGCCAUUCCCCUGAGGUCAGUUCCAGCAAUGUCACAAGCUCUCCCUUCCUCGGCCAUUCCCUUGAGGUCAGUUCCAGCAAUGUCACAAGCUCUCCCUUCCUCGGCCAUUCCCUUGAGGUCAGUUCCAACACUAUCACAAGCUCUCCAUUCCUCGGCCAUUCCCCUGAGGUCAGUUCCAGCAAUGUCACAAGUUCUCCCUUCCUCGGCCAUUCCCUUGAGGUCAGUUCCAGCAAUGUCACAAGCUCUCCCUUCCUCGGCCAUUCCCUUGAGGUCAGUUCCAGCAAUGUUACAAGCUCUCCCUUCCUCGGCCAUUCCCUUGAGGUCAGUUCCAGCAAUGUUACAAGCUCUCCCUUCCUCGGCCAUUCCCUUGAGAUCAGUUCCAGCAAUGUCACAAGCUCUCCCUUCCUCGGCCAUUCCCUUGAGGUCAGUUCCACACCAUAAGGGGCUGGGUAUCAUGUGUUAGAAGAUGCCCCAAACGUAACCUAACCUAACCUAACAAAACCACAAAAAGUUACCAUACGUCUUGACUUGAAAAAACUCAUCUAUGCUUCCUUAGACAAGACUUUAAAUAUAACAAAGUGAGGUCAAUCUCAUGAAAUAUUAGUGAAUGCAUAAAAAAUAAUCCAAAUAAUAAACAUGAAAAAUUGUAAAGAUAAAGAUCUGGAAAAAGUUGGAAAGUUUUGUUUAGUCGGCGCAACAUCUGUGGUCAUAUGCCGGAGAGAGACAGAAGGGGAAGGAAUUAUAGAAGGAAACAGACCCCAGGAGACAGGACACAAC